rnacentral:rRNA from 1 species
UAUGAAGGGGGCUAGCGUUGCUCGGAAUUACUGGGCGUAAAGCGCACGUAGGCGGCUUCUUAAGUCGGUGGUGAAAUCCUGGAGCUCAACUCCAGAACUGCCUUCGAUACUGAGAAGCUCGAGUCCGGGAGAGGUGAGUGGAACUGCGAGUGUAGAGGUGAAAUUCGUAGAUAUUCGCAAGAACACCAGUGGCGAAGGCGGCUCACUGGCCCGGUACUGACGCUGAGGUGCGAAAGCGUGGGGAGCAAACAGG